GUGUCAGCCGCCGCGGUAAUACGUAGGGUGCGAGCGUUAAUCGGAAUUACUGGGCGUAAAGCGUGCGCAGGCGGUUUUGAAAGUCAGAUGUGAAAUCCCCGGGCUCAACCUGGGAAUUGCAUUUGAGACUGCACGGCUAGAGUGUGUCAGAGGGGGGUAGAAUUCCACGUGUAGCAGUGAAAUGCGUAGAUAUGUGGAGGAAUACCGAUGGCGAAGGCAGCCCCCUGGGAUAACACUGACGCUCAUGCACGAAAGCGUGGGGAGCAAACAGGAUUAGAUACCCGUGUAGUCC
rnacentral:rRNA from 1 species